GCACCCGUUUUAUUGCUGUUAUGGGUUUCGGCCGAGCUUAGCGUUGUUCAUUUUUUUACACAAUAGGGCUGUAAAAAAUUGAACACACCCCACUGGACGCCGCGCCGGGCAUGGCUCCGAGCAGGGCCAAGAUGCCCUGAAACGCCCCAAAAUUGGCCAUCGAGCCCCGCUUUAGGGCAA
rnacentral:sRNA from 3 species